ensembl:lncRNA
CCCCCCUGCCUGGACCCCCGGGCUGGAGGGCUUGGGGCGGUGGGCUCUGUGGUCUGGAGGGGGCCGUCGGCAGGGGUAGGGCCACAGUGACACACCCCAUGAUUCCUGCUUUGUUUUCCCGACCUCUACUUGAUGUUUGCUCGUGCGUUUCAAAAGACCCACGGUGAUCGGAGGAAAGAAGAAGAAAAAAUAAUAGGAGGAGCUUCUGAGUAAAGUAAAAAUAACCGCAACACGUCUGUGUAGGUCUAGAGGAAAGGUUCCGGACAUUGCCUGUUACAAUCCUGGUCACGCGCGCGCGCGCACACACGCACGCACACACCCACACCCACACACACACACACACACUUCAGCUGGACUACUCACACAGGGGUUGGUGUGACUGCACGACAUUCGGAGGAUUCUGCAACCAAAGCUAAGCCACAAAAGGACACUAUCUCUGCUCUGAUGGAGGGCGAUGAAGCAAUCAGCAGACGACCCUGACGAGGAGCUGGGACCGGGAGCUCCGAGUCCCGUCUCAACAAGACCCCCACCGUGAGCUACAAUCCAUUAAAGAAGAUAAUCUAUGACCCACCAUGCAACCCGCUCCGCCGGACCGGCCUGCUGGCCCUCUGCUCCUGUGUGUAGGACGGUCUGGCCCUCUGCUCCUGUGUGUAGGGCGGUCUGGCCCUCUGCUCCUGUGUGUAGGACGGUCUGGCCCUCUGCUCCUGUGUGUAGGGCGGUCUGGCCCUCUGCUCCUGUGUGUAGGGCGGUCUGGCCCUCUGCUCCUGUAGCCCGGUGAUGUGCUCGCUGGAAGCAGGGCCUGGUCAUGUUUAGAGUUUCAUCCAGGGUGGGUUUUGUUGGACGUUUGUUCCUUGCAGCUCAACCUAGCGCUGCGCUUCGGUCUCAUCGAGCCGUCGGCCGAAGUGAUUUGGUGACGUUUCAGUUUGUCGGUUUGACGUUACGAUUCCCGCCAUGUUGCUUUGAGUGAAUCUGUGCACUUACUGGAUACGAAGGCUUCCUAUCACGAUCUGGACAAACACAAGUAGUGACAGUUCAUUCAACACGAUGAUUUGUGAAACGUACUUGGUAAAAAAGAAAGAAGAAAAAGCACCCCACUCUGCCAUGAACCCCCUCACUUUUACUACUGUCUGUUGGACCAGUCCCUUCCCCCCCCCAUUCAAACAAUGAUCCGCUCAGCCCUAGCCCAGUAGCGGCCUGAGAGAGAGAGAGAGAGAGAGAGAGAGAGAGAGAGAGAGAGAGAGAGAGAGAGAGAGAGAGAGAGAGAGAGAGAGAGAGAGAGAGAGAGAGAGAGAGAGAGAGAGAGAGAGAGAGAGAGAGAGAGAGAGAGAGAGAGAGAGAGAGAGGUAGGAAGAGAGAGAGAGAGAGAGGAGAGAGAGAGGAGGGAGAGAGAGGAGGGAGGGAGAGA